GAUGAACGCUAGCGGCAGGCCUAACACAUGCAAGUCGAGGGGUAACAGAAGAAGCUUGCUUCUUGCUGACGACCGGCGAACGGGUGCGUAACGCGUAUGCAACCUACCCUUAACAGGAAGAUAGCCCCGAGAAAUCGGGAUUAAUACUCCAUAGUAUUCUGAAAUGGCAUCAUUUUAGAAUUAAAGCUCCGGCGGUUAAGGAUGGGCAUGCGUAAGAUUAGUUUGUUGGUGAGGUAACGGCUCACCAAGACUACGAUCUUUAGGGGGUCUGAGAGGAUGAUCCCCCACACUGGUACUGAGACACGGACCAGACUCCUACGGGAGGCAGCAGUGAGGAAUAUUGGUCAAUGGACGCAAGUCUGAACCAGCCAUGCCGCGUGAAGGAAGACUGCCCUACGGGUUGUAAACUUCUUUUAUAUGGGAAGAAACCCCCCUACGUGUAGGGGGCUGACGGUACCAUACGAAUAAGCACCGGCUAACUCCGUGCCAGCAGCCGCGGUAAU
rnacentral:rRNA from 1 species